rnacentral:tRNA from 1 species
GGAGUGGUAGUUCUUAGAAUACCGGCCUGUCACGCCGGGGGUCGCGGGUUCGAGUCCCGUCCACUCCG